rnacentral:rRNA from 1 species
UACGAAGGGGGCUAGCGUUGCUCGGAAUGACUGGGCGUAAAGGGCGCGUAGGCGGCGAUCAAGGUCAGAUGUGAAAUUCCUGGGCUUAACCUGGGGGCUGCAUUUGAUACGUGGUGGCUUGAGUGCGGAAGAGGGUCGUGGAAUUCCCAGUGUAGAGGUGAAAUUCGUAGAUAUUGGGAAGAACACCAGUGGCGAAGGCGGCUCACUGGCCCGGUACUGACGCUGAGGUGCGAAAGCGUGGGAGCAACAGG